rnacentral:lncRNA from 1 species
UGUUUUCUCAAAGUGAAGUUUCAUUUUUAGCACAUAGUUUUUUCUCCAUUCUACACCCCCUGUAAUGUUACGUACAGUAGUAAGCCUCUCUACAUUCAACCCCCCCACCGCUGUGUUGGUCCCCAAAAUAUACAUCUUUUUCUUCUUCUGCAUUGUCUUAGUCAUCUUCUCUAAGGUAUUUCUUCAACACAACAAACACAGACCAUUGGGCAGACAGUGCAAAUCUAGAAAUUCAGUGAAAUUGCUACGUAAUGCGGUUGUAAGUUUCGGUAACAUUAUAUUCUCCCUCUGUUACUGUUGCUCUGACUUAUUGCCAUUCUAUCAUAUCUAACUCUAUGUCUUUUUUUCCUCUAUCUUUCUCCUCCUCUGUAAUCUUUACCCACUGUUUUCAUCCAAUCCAUUCACACCACCCCUCAGAUUUAAAGCAUCUGUUUAAAUUUGACCACAUGAAUAUGGCCCCGGAGAGGAAAUGUGACGGUGGAUGAAAACAGCGUUUGAUGGCUGUCUGUGAGGUGAUACCAGAGCUCUCUAGAAACACUCUCCCAUCUUCUCUAACUUCCUUUUUUUUUUUGGACCAGUUCAAGAAUGUUCAGCAGAAUUCAUAAAAAGAAGAAUAUUGUCGUUGUUGUUGUUGUUCAGAACAUUUUAGAAGUCUAGUACAGUGGGAGUUGGGGUUCUGGUUUUCCCGAGUCAGCUGACCAACUGACAGUAACAAUCAAGAGGGUCUGUGAGGAAGUGGGCCAAAACAAAAAAAUUAAAGUAAGCUGAGUUAUAUGACAGCAAGGUCAAGUUUAGUCUCUUUUCUAUUUACUUUCACUCUUUUUUGUGUGUGUUUUUUUUCUCUCUAGUGUUUUGCCUGAAUCAAAUAAGUGUUCAAAUCUGACCAAAGGGAUGCUUUCGUCUGCAGGCCUGGUCUGCAGGUGCAGGUUUUGAAGUGUUCUUUGACUGAUAUGAGGCUGCACUGACACCUAAUACAUUAGCCCAGUGGUUCUCAAGUCUCCCUGCUCCUACACACCUGAUUCAAAUGAUUAGCUCGUUAUCAAGCUCUGGAAUGGCUACAUAACGAGCUGAUCAUUUAAAUCAGGUGUUGGAGCAGGGAAACAUCCAAAACAUGCAGGACAGUGGGCCUCGAGGAGUGGACUUGAGAACCACUGCAUUAGCCUAUUUCUUUGGCUGCCAUGGAGCAUGUGUGAGUUCAUGCUCCUGUAAUUUGCAGCAACAGAAAACCUUUUGACAGAGCAUAUUUCAGGGUAAAAAGUCUUUCGAUUUUCUAAUUUCUUCAGAUUCUUUUGCUUUUGUUUAGUUUGUCUCAAAAAACCUACAAUCAAAAUGAUUUGCGAAGGGAAAAAUCAGUCUUUGGUUCAACUGCUCUUGACUUACGUCAGCACAAAGGCAAAAAUAGUAAGUACACAUUAAAAGGCUUUAAAAACAAAAGGCUAAAGUGUCACAACUUAAACUCAGGUUCCCAGUUUUCCAGAGCUUACAUCAGUCUCCAUUAGCAGAUUAACUGUGAGCAGUUAUCAUGGAGAUUUCUCAGGAGCUGGUCUGUAAACAUACUUUCCAAACACCAGCUAUCACUUGACUCAAGUUUAAUACUUGAGUCACGUGAUGGCUGCUAAUCCAUCUCCCGGAUAAAAGAGCCUCACCUCAGCCUCAUCAUGCAUGAGGGACGUCUAACCUAAAUAUUGUGUCUGCAAAUGAAAUCAAACGAUUAGAAAGAAAAGAUAAUCAGAGGCGGAUUAGGUGUGGCUGCAGCCAAAUAGCAUCAGAACACAUCAAAAUUUACAUCCACCUGAAAAUGAGGUCAGAAAUGCACCUGAUAGAGAUGACUACCCCUGAUGCUUAAACUCAUCAGCUCAAUAAAAGUCAAUUUUAGAGCUGCACACGGAGCGAGUUUCACGACUUAGUUGAUUCAGGCAUGAUUCAAAGUGAGUGGUUGAAAACUGCUGGUUUGAAGGGUUUUUGAAUGUUUGGUUACGAAGCAGCCAACAGGUAGCUCUGCGUUUUAAAAUGUAAAAAAAAGAAAAAAAAAACAAUCAAUCGAUUCAUUUUACGAUACAUUCGGAUUCAAACCCUGUCCCUCAGGAAGGAGAGAAGGAGAGAGAGAGAAAAAGGAACAAAGAGAGAACUGCUGUCUCUCGUUCUCUGUCACUCUAUCUACACACAUCUCCUGCUCACUGAUUCACUCACUGGAUACAUACCGACAUGUACACACUCACUCACGCACACACACACAACCUGACCAUCAUCUCCAAAUAAGGUUACAUUUCCUGAUCAAAUAGAAAAUAAAUAGCAUCAGUAUCAGUUUUCCACAAAAUGAACAAGAUCAUACAAAAAGAACAAGUUAAACAACAUAAUUACAAAGCAAAAAAUCAGUUUUCAUCAAAUAAAUGUACACAGAAAGUACCUUUAAGACAAUGUGAAUAUCAAGGACGCAACAGGAGUAAAAACAAAAGUGGGGGGUAAACAUUUGAGUGUGGCACCCACUUCCUGUUUAACCCCCUCAAACCACAAAGAUUAUCCUGAAAGAAUGAAAAUAUUGCUAAAAUAAUUUUUUUCAGUUUUUUUCCCCCAUUCUUUAUCCCAUCACUCUACCAUAAUGAUCAGACAAGAAUAAACUGAUUUUUGUUGGUUCACAUCGAAAAAAGUUAUCAUCGCCAUUGUCGCCAUCUAGCAGCAUCAGGUCUGCUGAGCCUAAAGGAACAGACGUUGUGGGUUCAGAAGUCUGGAUCACUGGGUUUUUCUUUUAGUCUGAAACACUUGUGGUGCACAUUAAUCGCUCUUUUUAUCUCUACUUUGAGAUUUACGAUUCGCUCCGAUACAAUUUGGUUGAAGAUUGGAGUUCCAACUGUACUUUGUCAAAAUUUUAGCCAAAAAAAUCUCAGAGUGAUGCUUAAAAAUGAUAGCUACCCUGUGGAGUUUUCAUCAGUGGCUCUGGUUUAUUUGAGUUUGAGUACUUUUGAUUUAAUAUGUAUGACAACUUAGGCAAGAGGAUUCAUGUCCUACACAGCAGAAGGCAUUAGAAGACAAACAGACACUGGGGAGAAGAAAACAGCCAGCAAGGACAUGUUAAUGUAAACAUUGCAAGAUGUACAAAAACUAAAUUUGACAUGAUAGAAAUAGAAAAGAAAUGCUUCCAGGAUAAAGCAUACACACAUAGUGUUUAGGCAGCGACACGUAUGACCUUACUUAUGCUGUGUUCGAGUUACCUUGGAAGUCAAUUGUCGGAGCUGAAAAUGACGUCGCACCCGAGUUCCAAACGUUUCAGUUACAAGGUCAGAAAAAAGCAAAAUCAAAGGCCUGAAACAAGAUGGCUAAAUCAACGAAAGUUAUUUUAGCGCUUGCCUUAUAUUCAGACAAGGCAAGCGCUGAAAUAACUUCCGUAGGUGUAGCCAUCUUGUUUCGGCCUCCGAUUUUGCUUUUUUACACCUUGGUAACUGAAACGCUGGUAACUCAGGUGUGACGUCAUUUUCAGCUCUGACAUCCAAUUUCCGAGGUAACUUGAACACAUCAUUAUUGUCUCCACAGGGUAACAUUUUAAAAAAGACAUUUUCUUUAAAUGUGGAAUGUUUUUUGGAUUUUCCAUUAAAUGAAUACAUUCUGCACCACAUUGAUCCCGAAUUUCAAAAGAAAAGAAAAACGGCCGACCCAGAUCAUUCCUCCCCUCUUUAAGGUCUGUUAAAGGGGAAACCCGCUCAAUUCUAGCAUUCACGUUAUGGCCUCAUACAGUUAACGUGAUGUGAAUUCAGAAUUCAAGCCGGAUUUCCCCUUUAUGGUUUCUGCUACACUAGUGUUUCUCCCAUUAUACACUACAGAAAUAUCCAGAGACAUAUGUAUAUAUAUAUAAAAACAUUAUCAUCAUCGUCAUCUUCAUCAUCAGUAGUACUUAGAGUAGAGUAGAGUAGAGUAGUAGUAGAGUAACAAGUAAGAAGAAGGAACAGUAUUGUACUUCAUAUCAUUCUCAUCAUCUUCAUCAGUGGUUAUUUAACCUUGAGGGACUUUAGGCUCGUCCUUUGGUGGAACCCGACAGGAUGGGAGAAGAGUUAGCUCCAGAACCAGCUGUUUGUAUGUGUGUUUUGUGUGUGUACUUGAGUGUGUGUGUCUGUAUGUAUGUUUGGGUGCAUCAGUGGAUGAUUUGUAUGACCUGGAUACACCUUCUCCUGUUAGCUCUGUCUUCUCAUAUUUACAGUAAAUAUGUACUUGCUAUCUGUGUGCAUGUGAGGAUUAGUGUGUCUGAUCUGUGUGGGAAUAGUUUUGGGACAUUUGUGUGAAAUUGCUUCUUUUUUUAAGUUAAUGGGUUGUGCUAUCCACGAAUGAAAUAAGCAUCUCUGACCGGAGGAUAAAUGCGAGGCCACAGGACUGGAUCGGUUAAAUAUCAAGACAAGUUAGACACAGGUUGAACUUUGUUUGUGUUGCACCAAAAGAGACAUUUUCUCUCUUAUUUUGACGCUGAUUUAAAGCAGGUCAGCCACCAUUUUUUGGGUACUGACCUGCAGUAUAAUAAAACAGCCAUUAAAUUUAAUGACAAUCUGCAUUUUAGGAGGAUUGUUAUCUUCAGAUCUGAAACAUAAUGGGUGUACAGCAAAAAGUGAACCAGUUUCACACAACUCUGUCAGAUAAAAGGUUUUACCUUGGAUCACUGAGAUUGUACACUUUUGUCAAAAAAGUCACCUCCCCUUUGAUACGAGAUAAACAGAACAUUGGUUUUGUUUUGGACCUUUUUUGUAUCUGACUGCUCCCAACACUUCACUAUCAAACUCAUGUCUUCUCCCUGUCCCCUAACCCCUAUGUUAUCUCAUCUCAUUGAAGCAACACC